CUUUCUCUGGACCCAUGACAGAGCUGUUUGGCCUGCAUUUCCCUGCAAUGGAGAUAGCUGUGAUGAGUUUUUUUCUGAACAUCAGGCCUCUCCUCCAGUAUCAUUGACCUUUCUAAGAUCAUAGAGAGGGGUCACACAGUCAAAACCUCAUGACUUUCAGGUGCAUCCUAUCUGGUCCUGUGAACUUGCAUCUAUCCAAUUGGCUCCAAUAUUCUGAUCCUCAUCUGUGAAAACAACUUUCUAACAGGGCCCUGAGUACACUAAUGGGUUCAAUUGCUUUGACCACUCUCACAUGGGACAUUCACCCACACACCAAUGACCAUGGGACCAAGAUAUUUCUUAAGUGCAGGCUCAAGGGUAGGAGCCCUUUCCUGAGCUAUGAUGCAGCUGUAGGAUGUUUUUCCAGCCCUGUUUUGUCAUGAGUAAUUUCUUGGAUUUCCUGGCUUGAUCUUGGAUUUGGGUUGUUACGUUGCCUUUGCCUGAUCCAUGGGAUGGGACCUGUUGCUCUUCCUGCUCAGGGGCUGUGGGACCAUGCCCUAAUGGUUGCUACUGCUGUGUAAUUCACCGCUGUGAGGCAAGCAAUGAAGAGAACAAACCCUUUUGGGAUGUCAUGAAAACCAAACUGUAAAUAACACUGGAUCUUUGGAACAUUAGUAUUUUGCAGUAAAGUUAAUGAAAAGUCUAGUUUUGGAAAACCAAGACUUAACUUGGAUUAGAAUUUAAUAAGCAAUUUCAUGCUGGUGAGGUACAGGCAAUGGUUAUUAAUUAUUCAUUUGAUCCAUUUCAGAAUGCUUUGAUCCUUGCAGAAGCAGAGUUGCAGUAGUAAGACCCCAGCCCCACUGUUAUUCAUGAUAUUCUGUUCUGAUGGGUGGUUUUGGUUGCACUACUGAAUACUGAUUUCUUAAGGGUGUUGCUGCUUCAGCUGCAUCCAGGAAAAGAGGGACAGACUUCAACCCUUUGCACCUUGGUUCAAUUUCCUGGACUCCCUCACCUCACUUUCCAGAACAGUAAUGCGUGGAUGGUGCUUUGGCUGAAUUUCUCAUGUUUGAAACUCCCUCUGUUGUUUUGGUGUUAGAGAAGCUGAGCAGUUGCUGUGUUGAAACCUGGCAGCCUCAUACUACAGUCAGCAGCAACAGCCACAAGGCAAUCCAGCAUUUCCUGUGGUCUCAUCCAAAAUGUGGGAUUUGUGUAAUACUGCAGUCAUGUAAGCAGGCUGGUACAGCAGGACUACGUGCAGGCUUCCAUCCCAGCCACGAUGGAAGGAGAAAACAGAAACAACUCUUCCCUUAAGGAGGCAGCAGUUCAUAAACGAAAAUGAUUUCCUGGACUGCAUUUCCUCCUUUCUGCCAAAUGCCACACUUGUUGGAAGGAGCUGUCACAGAUUCAUGGAUGAGAUUAGUAGACUCGGCAUCAACAGUCUGGCCACAGGGCUGGAAAUACUUAUGCCAGGAUGAUUAGAACUCAUAAACUAAAAAAAAAAGAAUUAAUGGGAACUUCAUGCACUGAAUUGACAUUUUAAGAAGCAUCUAAAUGUAUGUCCCUUAAGUUCUUGUACAAGGAGCCAGCCCCAAGAGCUUGCUACCUCAUAGGACAAGCAAAUUUAGGUGGAUUUCUGAACAUCUUCCCUCCUCUCACUCCCUCCUUCUCCUUAAAAUUGUUUCUCAUUAUUUGCUGUUGGGAAGACAAAUAGAAAAAAAAUUGUAACAUAUAAAAUGCUGAAUAAAGAGCAAGUAAAUAUUGCUGUGAA